rnacentral:rRNA from 1 species
CCUACGGGGAGCAGCAGUGAGGAAUAUUGGUCAAUGGCCGGAAGGCUGAACCAGCCAUGCCGCGUGAAGGUCAGUGCCCUAUGGGCGUUAAACUUCUUUUGUGCGGGAGCAAUAAUGGUCACGUGUGGCCAGACGAGAGUACCGUACGAAUAAGCAUCGGCUAACUCCGUACCAGCAGCCGCGGUAAUACGGGGGAUGCAAGCGUUAUCCGGAUUUAUUGGGUUUAAAGGGUGCGUAGGCUGUGAGGUAAGUCAGCGGUGAAAUGCCCCCGCUCAACGGGGUGAAGUGCCAUUGAUACUGCCUGGCUGGAAUGCGGAUGCCGUGGGAGGAAUGUGUGGUGUAGCGGUGAAAUGCAUAGAUAUCACACAGAACACCGAUUGCGAAGGCAUCUCACGAAUCCGCGAUUGACGCUGAUGCACGAAAGCGUGGGUAUCAAACAGGAUUAGAUACCCGGGUAGUC